UACGAAGAGUGCUAGCGUUGUUCGGAAUUACUGGGCGUAAAGCGCGCGUAGGCGGCUAUACAAGUCAGAGGUGAAAUCCCCAGGCUCAACCUGGGAAUUGCCUUUGAAACUGUAUAGCUAGAGUGUUGGAGGGGAUAGCGGAAUUGCUAAUGUAGAGGUGAAAUUCGUAGAUAUUAGCAGGAACACCGGUGGCGAAGGCGGCUAUCUGGACAACAACUGACGCUGAGGCGCGGAAGCGUGGGGAUCAAACAGG
rnacentral:rRNA from 1 species